rnacentral:lncRNA from 1 species
AAGGGAAUCAAAAGGAGAGGUCUACACAUGGAUAAGCCAAUAUAACUCUGGAAUAUUCAGCUAUUAAGGUUUCAGUUCUCGGGUUUCCUUGCAAGUGGAGCUCACCUUCUAUGACAUUUUCGAUGGAAAAUGGGAGAUUACAAGAUCUAACAUAGUAGAGCAUUCGGGUAAUCCAAGAAUGCCCCAAUUUCUUAUCAAUACUCAGAAGUUUAUCAUAUGAGGUCUAUAUUGGAUCUCGAAAGAAAAGCACGACAAUUCCAACCUCCAUCUCUAGAAAUUUUCUCAUUCUUAAUCUUACUAGUAAUUUUUUGGUUUAACACGAAACUCACAGCUUUUUGAUCUGUAAGAAGCCAGAAUUUUUUUUUUAUCAGAAAAUGCUUCCAAUUUCGUACAGCUUCAACAAUUGUGUAAGCUUUAUUUUCUACUGCAGAAUGAUGCCUCUCAGACAUAUUCAACGAUCUCGAAAAGAAAAAUUCAAAAUGGACUCAAGAAACCCUCAAUCGCACCAUCCGAAGCAUCUGUCUCUACUGUUAAUCUUGCCAUAGGAUCAAUAACCAUGAUGACUGCAUUUCCAAUGCCCUUCAUAACUAUUUGCAAAAACCUCUUACAGUUCUGUAUUUGAAGGGUAAUCUUGAGGGUGUACAAUUUGAGAAAGAGGGUAUCCAUCGAGAAUAAUACGCAAAUAUCCCCAAAAUACGUCGUAACUCUUUCUUAUUCAUAGGCUUAGGAAUGUUCAUGAA